rnacentral:tRNA from 1 species
GGUUGUGGCUCAAAGGUAGAGCGCUUGCCUAGCAUGCAUGAGGCACUGGGCUCGAUCCUCAGCACCG